UGCUAAUAGAAAUUAAUCGAAAAUUUACAACUGAACGUCUAGAUGCCUUCAGUGAACUGAAUCGGCGGCGAAGCGACUAAUAUAAAAUACGGUAUCCGGUUGUUUCGCCAACGAGUCGUUUCGCCAACUGUCAGUUCGCCAACGUCUCGGGUGGAUUCGCCAACGCUCGUCCACGUUCUUAUGUCAGUUCGCCAACGUCGCGUAGUUCAUAUAAAAGGCGUAUUGUGCGACAUUGUUAGUUGUUACUGAUGUUCUUGUAUUAUGAAGAUU